ensembl:lncRNA novel transcript
AUGUCUUCCUGCUUCAGUGUUAGAUCCCUAAUUCCUCGCACAGUGCCGUGCACAUAUGCCUGCCUUGGCUCUGCUUUCUCCAAACCUGUCCCCAUCGGUCAGCUGGGGUGGACGAGUGUUUUCCAUCUUGCAAAGUCAUUGUGUGGGGAAGAUGAGAUAUUCCACGUGAAGCCCCCAGCACGGCCCCCAGCGCAGCCUCCUUCCAGGAAUGUUGGCUCUGAGGUCGUCUUCCGCGUGAGUUUUCAUCUGUCACUUGUAACAGGAGUGCUGGUGGGAACCAUGGUGCAGUGUGGUCCAGCAUCACCUGCACGGCUUGGAAGACGGAGAUCGCAGAGCCGGGUCCCAGGGUGUCUGAUUCAGUGAGUCCAGAGGCGUGCCUAUGUGUGGACAGACAUCGCUGACCGACCAUAACCUCACAUCUGCCAAACAGACACGGCCUCAGAAAUUAACAAUGGAUGUUUGUCUUCAACGAAGCUUCCGCCCGACACAUCAGAUACAGUGCUGUGCUGGGCGGAGCCACAGGAAGCCUGGAGGCCUGGCUGUGGCUGCUGGUUUUGUCUCUGGGUCCCUGGUGCUGAUGAUCACAGGCUUCAGACACCCCUGGAGCUGUGCGAGCCGUCAGUAGCGUGUGUGUGUGCGUGCGUGUGUGUCCAUGUGCAUGUGUGUGCACGUGUGCAAGUGCGUGCGUGCGUGCGUGUGCGUGUGCGUGCGCGUGUGUGAUGCGUGUGCACGCGCGUGUGUGAUGCGUGUGCACGUGUCUGUGCGUGUGUGGGUGUGCGUGUGCAUGUGUGCGUGCGGGUGUGUGCGUACGUGUGUGCGUGUGUGUGCGCGCGCGUGUGUGUUCUCGUGUGCACGUGUGUGUGUGUGUGUUUUCAGGGUCAGGAAUAGGUUAACUGGAUGAGAUUCCAUCCUCUGUGAACUCCCUGUGAUUUUUGUGCAGUCACUAUGUUGCCCAAACUGGCCCACUUCCCUUCACUGUUGUUGCUCCAGAGGGGCAGGAGGAUUAAUGUCCACGCUCGGAUACAAAGUUUUCACACCCCACUGUCACUGAACUCCUGCCUGUAGGGAACAUUGGCUAUGAUAAAGAAAACUAGGUAAAGCACUGAAAGGGCAGUGCUCAGAAAGAGAAAGAAAUGCGAGCAGCCCUGGGGCUAUUUCCUUCCUGGAGGUUAGAAAACUCUCUGAGUGAGUGUGUUGAUCAGAGGUCGACUAAGCUGCCUCAUGACAAUCGAAUUCUGAAUUUACUGCAGAGACAAUAACCCCAUCACACAAGUACAAGGGCAUGUCGGUGAAAACCAUGUUUUAAACUGUCAAGCUUUGUAAAUAAUAAAGCAAAUUCAGAUACUGCAACUAGCAAAAAGAAA